rnacentral:lncRNA from 1 species
GCCCUACAAUGGGGGAAGACCUCCUCUUGCUCAGGGUUCUAUAUAUGCAUGACAAACCGGAAGUGAGGGACCCAGCUCUUCCCCUCUCCUGGAAAAACCCUGACCACUUCCCCAAAGACAGAGAGGAAGCCAGAAAGAGAAGGCCUGGGGGUCAGCGUGAAGGGUUCAGUGUGAGUGGUGCCUGUGAGUGCCUGCCAGCCUUGGAAGGGCCUGUCUCUCUGCUUUGGCAAUGGUCCCCUUGGACAAAUUAUCUUAGCCUGGAAUAAACUGCAGGCAUCGGGAUGCACAAGCCCCAAGGAGCCCUCCUUACUGCGGAGCCAAGAGGAACUGGACUCCUUUCUGGACCUGCAACACCAAGGUGGCCAACCCUCCUGCGUGGUAUGGACAAACAAAUCCCCAUGGAAGCGCCCACCUUCCCCCCGCUCUCCUGCCCUUUUGCCUGUCCAACCACCAGUCUGUGCCUCUUCUGUUCUGCCAGCUGCUGAGGCUCUCUGUGCCCAGGGAUCACUUUGACUGCAUCUGACCAAAUCUGAAUCUGGCGUCUAUACCCCUCUGUCUACUUCCCUGGGUCUGUGGGCUCUGUUCCCCGGCCUUGGUAUCCUGCCUCUGCCUCUUUCUCUGAGACCCUCUGUUCCCUGCUUUCUGUGUCUCUGUGCUGAUGUGGGCAUCUCUGCCUCUCUCUCAGUAAAAGGCCCCUGUUCCCCUAGUUAUAACUACUUCUUUCUGUGGACCCCACAUUUCUCAGAUUUGGAGAUGAACUUACUAUUUGUAGGAUGAAACUAGGCAUCUGGUAACCCUGAAAACAAGAUAAUUACAGGACUAUCAAGUAAGAAAGGAUAUAGAGAUUGCUCAGGCUUCUGGCUUAGGGGACCAUCACAGGGAAGAUCUCAAACCAGGACCUAGGGACCACUGAGGAUACACAGAGGUUUUAGAGACACCUCUGGGUCUGCUAGCUAAAAGUCCCUGAGUAUAGUCAGCCCUUGGUAUGCACAGGUUCAGCAUCCAUGGAUUCAACCAAGCAUGGGUCAAAAAUACUUGAAAAAAAAAAAAAUUCCAGAAAGUUCCAACGAAACUUGAAUUUACCUUAUGCUGGCAAAUAUUUACAUAGCAUUUACAUUAUGUUUGCAACUAAUUUAUGCGGCGUUUACAUUGCAUGAGGUAUUAUAAUUAAUCUAGAGCUGAUUUAAAGUAUAUGGGAGGAUGCGC